rnacentral:rRNA from 1 species
UCGAGGAUCUUCGGCAAUGGGCGCAAGCCUGACCGAGCGACGCCGCGUGUGCGAUGAAGGCCUUCGGGUUGUAAAGCACUGUCGAGGGGGAGGAAAGCCGAAAGGUCUGACCUAUCCCUGGAGGAAGGACGGGCUAAGUUCGUGCCAGCAGCCGCGGUAAGACGAACCGUCCUAACGUUGUUCGGAAUCACUGGGCUUAAAGGGCGCGUAGGCGGCCGAUCAAGUCUGGGGUGAAAGCCUCCAGCUUAACUGGAGAAGUGCCUUGGAUACUGAUCGGCUAGAGCGAGGUAGGGGCAGCUGGAACUUCCGGUGGAGCGGUGAAAUGCGUUGAUAUCGGAAGGAACGCCGGUGGCGAAAGCGAGCUGCUGGACCUUUUCUGACGCUGAGGCGCGAAAGCUAGGGGAGCAAACGGGAUUAGAUACCCCCGUAGUCC